GAGGAGCAACGCCGCGUGAGUGAUGAAGGUUUUCGGAUCGUAAAGCUCUGUUGUUAGGGAAGAACGAGUGCCAUACUAAUUGGGCGGCACCUUGCCGGAACCUACCCAAAAGGCCCCGGUUAAUUACUUGCCACCGGCCCCGGUAUU
rnacentral:rRNA from 1 species